GAUUAACGCUGGCGGCGUGCCUAACACAUGCAAGUCGAGCGGCAGCGAGUUUUCCACUGAAUUCUGGAAGCUUCUAGUUGAAAGAGAAGAUUUAUUCAAGAAUUUUGUGUAAAAUGUCGGCGAGCGGCGGACGGCUGAGUAACGCGUGGGAACGUACCCCAAAGUGAGGGAUAACGCAUCGAAAGGUGUGCUAAUACCGCAUAUGGUCUUCGGAUUAAAGCCUUCGGGCGCUUUGGGAACGGCCUGCGUAAGAUUAGAUAGUUGGUGGGGUAAUGGCCUACCAAGUCGACGAUCUUUAACUGGUUGGAGAGGAUGAUCAGUCAGACUGGAACUGAGACACGGUCCAGACUCCUACGGGAGGCAGCAGUGAGGAAUCUUCCACAAUGGGCGAAAGCCUGAUGGAGCAACGCCGCGUGCAGGAUGAAGGCCUUCGGGUUGUAAACUGCUUUUAUAAGUGAGGAUUAUGACAGUAACUUAUGAAUAAGAAUCGGCUAACUACGUG
rnacentral:rRNA from 1 species